rnacentral:lncRNA from 1 species
UCUUGGCUUUUGUUUUUAUGCCUGGAUUCUCUCAACAGAAAACAUGUUGGGGGAGGACCCAGAGGGCAGAGGCACUCACUGCUGGGUGAGUCCUGUGGCUCACUGCCACCAAAGCAGUGACUCAGGCGGUUCAUCCUUGGGUGUUUCAACACCAUUUGAGAGCCGGUCCAAAGGUUUCCCUCACUUUCUAAGCACACUCCCGCUCUGCCCUGGGCACAGUUACUGCAUUAUUACACAGGGGGAGGGGAGGAGAGCACAACAAACACCGUUUUCAAUAAAUUAGCAUCUUAAGCAGACACUAGCAGAGCCAACCCCUAAGGAGUCUGUGGUGGGUACAGAGCACAUGCCCAUCUUCGAGGGACAGGGCUGCAGGCUGGCUCGUGGACUGUUGUACCAGCUCAUCGGCAGAGAGAGCCUUUCGCAUGGUGGAUCUGUCCUCUCAGCAGCACAUGUGAAGACCCCUGAGACCUUGAGCCUCACCAGGUAUCGUCAGGCACCAUGGCAGAGUGUCUCUGAGGAACCUAGAACACAAGCAAAGCCAAGUUUCCAUCGCAAACUUCCAGUAAGUACCUCUUUGCUGUUAUACCCAAGGGCAAACAAGCUUUGCCCAAUGUGGUUGCCCUCUUGCCUGUUAUAUUCCAAGCUCUCCCACCCAUGCCAUCUCUGCCUUCUGAGUUCACCUGGGAGAGACCUUCCCUCUGACUCCUCAGCUUGUAGCCAUCUAUCCUCAAGCGCAAGGUCUGACUACUCCUCACACUGUCUCCCCA